rnacentral:miRNA from 1 species
GUGAAAGAGGUUUGGAUUGAAA